UCCGCCCUUUGGAGUCUGCCUACUGAGUGUUUUUACUCUCAUUCCAGUCGGAGAAGACACACCGGACGGAAGACGAGUAACCAAAGUACGGCGUCCAAAAAGUAGCGGACACAGUUGAGAGUAAAUCUUUAGUUACAUUCCUGGACUACUUUUUCAAUCGUCACUGUUGGAUUUUUUUAACUCGAAGUGAAUCCUUCCAUUAUCUCUGAACACAAAAUGGAGACCGGCGACAACAAAUAUCUCCCCGAGCUGCUGGCGGAAAAGGACAGCCUGGACUCGUCGUUCACACAUGCCAUGAAACUUUUAAAUGCAGAAAUUGACAGGAUCCAAAAAGGUGAACCCAAGAAGGAUGAGUCUGACAUGUACUUGGAUAUUUUCGCAACAAAGAACAUGAAACUUAAGGAGCGCAUCCUCAUACCUGUCACACAGUACCCCAGGUUCAACUUUGUGGGCAAGAUUCUGGGACCCCAAGGCAACACCAUAAAACGACUGCAGGAGGAGACCGGAGCAAAGAUCUCUGUGUUGGGCAAGGGCUCAAUGAGAGACAAAGCAAAGGAGGAGGAGCUAAGGAAUGGCGGCGAGCCAAAGUAUGCCCACCUGUCGAUGGAGCUGCAUGUGUUUGUGGAGGUGUUUGCCCCCGUGCCUGAUGCCUACCUGCGUAUGGGCCAUGCCAUGGAAGAAGUGAAGAAGUUCUUGUUCCCUGAUGUGACAGAUGAUAUCUGCCAAGAGCAAUUCAUGGAGAUGAGCUAUCUGAAUGGCGGCCAGGAGCAUGGAGGCAGAGGGAGAGGAGUGCGGGGACGGGGCGGCCCCCCAGGACUGCACAGGGGAAGGGGAAUGCCGCCACGUGGAGCUAUCGCUGCUCUGGGAGUCAGAGGCGGUGCAAUAAGGGGCGCCAUGUCGGGCCGUGGAAGGCCUGGCGCUGCAUCUGCCAGGGGAGUUGCAGCAGCCCGUGCCAGACCACCGGCUGCCGGUCCCCUCCAGAGGAUGCAAACCCACCAGCACAAUCCGGCAGCCGCCGAGAGCUAUGAAGAAUAUGGAUACGACGAGAGCUACGACGGGGCGGCCUACGAGUCGUACGACAGCUAUUACAGUCAGCAGCAGACAGAGCCAGAAUACUACGACUACGGACACGGAGAGUCUGCACAGUCAUAUGAAACUUACGGCCAGGAUAAUUGGAAUGGAACACAGCGAGCAGUUCCAGGCAAAGCCCCGCCUUCCGCCAGAGGUGCCAAGACGCCUUACAGGGAUCACCCAUACCGAGCGUACUGAAGCGAGCCCCGCCCCCCCCCUUACAGUGUUACCUGUCGUCCGUGGCAGCUGUCGCUUUAAGCAGCCCGACACAAGCUCGUCUAGGUUGCUCGCUGAGUGCCCGGAGAUGCUAGAGUAGACCGAUGGAGUGAGACCAUGAGACCCUCAGCUUCCCGUCGCAGGAGGCGGCCCCUUGUAAAGCCAUGGCUUAGGGCCCAGUUCUGGAGCCGUUGACAGUCCGGGCCGGGCGCCAAGUGGACCCACAGGAGCCAGCUGGUGUAGCUCGGGGACAGGGUCCAAGCUCAGACUAGGGGGGGAAAGCUGGCUCAGCUGGCUCAUCCUGGAACCUCUAGAGACUAAUAAUGAACUAUUUCUGCUCUUUUUCAUGUGUUUAUGCCACCAAAGACGUCGGAAAUGUAAUAGUUCCACUCUGAUGUGGUGUAAAAUGAGAUCUCUUGUUAUAUAGGGAAGCCGUGAAAUUGUUUUUAAUUCCUAUCCUAGCCAAAUGAAGGGGGAGGACGCCGUCGCCUCUGAAUUUCAAGUGUUUAAUUGUUUAACAUUCCGUCGGGGUGCGCCUCGUCGCCACGUGAAAUUAGACCUCGGCCUCGGAGACUUUCAGCAGGCCCGCGGUGUGCAAAUCAGCCUCUCAGCAGACAUUCCCACACAUCUCAGCUGCCCUGAGCCUCGCACAUGCUAAUACCGGACCACAUUUGCAUGUCCAAUCCCCCCACCUACCGCCCCUCCCCUCCCGCUUACAAAUGUGCAACACUUCUCAAUACCAACACUGGGCUGCUCUUUUCCAAGUAUGCUAAUGUAAGGAAAAGGACCAAACACUCCAUUUAACAUUGAUUCCUUUGGUAUCGUUGAUGCUGCUCCUACAUGAGGUCAAACUCAACAUUUCCUCAAGUACUUCUCACACAAAACAAGUAUGAUGUGGGUUACAUGGAAAUGGAGAAGUGGGUCACAGGCUAUAAACCAUGCGUGAUGCCCAUGCUCACAGAUACAUCUAUUAAACAGGAGGGGGGAAAUAAUCGUACAUCCUCUAUAGCACACGUGGCAAUGAAGAACUGCUGAAUUUUCUUUAUUUAAUUGAUCUUUCCCUCAAAUAGAAGGUGGCGUUGAUCAUUAAAAUCACCUGCUUUGGUGACCGGUUUAAAAAAAAAAAAAACCUGUGGUGUCUCUGCCCUCCAUGGCAUGAGUUUGACACCCACUGCUCUCUACACCAGGGGUCUCAAACACGUGGCCCGCGGGCCAAAUGUGGCCCACAGGACACUAGUUUGAGGCCCUCGCCUUGAUAUGAAAGUUUAAUGUUAGUGCGGCCCACGCAAGUUUGAUAUGGAUGCUGUAUGGUAUCAUGUACCCAGAAAAAAUUAUUACGUUUGAUUAAUGUUCAUGUUAAAGGUUAAAUAACUGUUAAUAGUUAUCCUCCCUAUCCGUGUGGAAGUGGUACGUUUUUGGCUAUUUAAGUUUAAAGGAAAUAACUUGAAGGCUACCGUUUAGGUCGCUAGCUCUCUAGUUUGCGAGUUAGCAUGUGUGUCAAGACCCUGCAGUUGCGCAAUAUGUUGUAAAUAAAGAGUAUAAAUGUGACUAUAGUCGUGUUUUGUCAUGUCUACAGGGCUCUAAUAAUGCUUUGUUCAUUUUAAUCUGAAAAAAAUAAUUUGUUUCUUAAGUUUUUACUAUUUGCCGUUUUAUUAUUAUUAUAUUUUUUUAUUACUGAUUGAUUUUCUUUAUUCUUGAUUUGGUUAUUUUUCAUCUUAUUUUGUGCAGAAAAAUAAAAAUUAAGAUAUUUGAGAACAGUGGAAUGUUUUAUCAGAGUUUUAUUGUAGAAAAUCGGAACCAAAGCACUGAAAAAGUUUGUAUAUUUUUCUGUUUUUAAUAAAUGCGUUUUUUUUUUUUUUGGAAAACCUGAUGCGGCCCAGCCUUGCCCAGACCCUAGCUCCAGUGGCCCCCAGUUAAAUUGAGUUUGAGACCCCUGCUCUACACUAAAGCCAUGUUUGGUAAGUGCCAACAGGAGGGACUUUCAUCUCAUCCAGGACUCAAUUGUUUGUCUGAGAUCAUCUUGAAAAAAAAAUGUAUUAACCAAAGGUUGGCUGAAAUUGAA